ACCACAGAAUGCUCUAGCAAGAUCCGGCCUAUACUGGGAAAGUACUGAUUCUCAUGACUUGUGGUAAAUAACUUGGUUAUAUAUAGCUGGGGCACCCUGCACUCAGGCUGAAGCCUCACCUAUGGAGUGGACACACUGCCCAGGACUGUUUUCCCGAUGAAAACUCCUGCCUGACUGCAACGGGCCUUCCCAGUCAAGACUAAAGACAGGAUGAAGCUUUCUCUUUAUCGAUUCCAAUUCCAGUGCUAAUUGUUGCUGGUUUCGCAUUGUGUGGAGUCCCUUUGGCAGAGUGUGUAACACCAGGAGUAAGAGCAAUUAAAAUUAAUUCAAUGGUACUCCAGUAGGGAUGGGCUGCUAGUAUACGAAAUAAAAUUUAAGGAAAUUUUACCCGCCCUGCUGGACAAGGAUGUCCUACUACUAAUUUGACUUUUGAAGGAAAUGUAACUAUUUGGAGGGUAAGAAGAGGGCAUCUUUAUGUUCAGUUACUAGAUGACAGACAAGCUACGGUAAUAAUUAAAAAUUACACAGACAUAAAAUGUUGUAAUUGUAAAUACGAACAGACAUACUGAAAAAAUUACUACUUUUGCCAGAAUGGAUCUGAUAUUAAUAAUAAAUCAAUUGAUUUACAGAA